rnacentral:lncRNA from 1 species
CUCCUCUCUGAUGUUGCUUAAUAAAUGAGUAAUUUACUUAAUACUAAAUACCAUGUCAAUCUAACUCAUCAGAAGCAAGAAUAAUAGAAAUUUUCUUCCUCCCAAAGCACAGUAAAUAUUAAUUGAACAAUUUGUUUUGAAGCUCUAACAGAACCUGAAAUAAAUGUAAGACAAAUUCCUAAUCUGGAUCAUAUGGAAAAAAUAAGAGAAAUAAACUGUUCGGUAACAGGAAGACCAGCUCCUGUAAUUACCUGGAAGAUGAAGAAACCUCUUCAGAUAAAGCCAAAAUCACAUAUGAUUUCACACUCAAAUAAGACAGUAACUGUUAUCAGCACAUUUACUCAAGUCUUGUCCAAGACAGUCUCAGAAAAUUCAGUAAUCUGUGUUAUUCAACAUCCAUCUCUAAACACUUCACAAGAGUUGAUGUUAUCUGAAAUUGUAAGCAAACAAGCCCCAAACAAACAUCAAAGAAUUGUUAUUGCAACUGUCUGUAUACUGGUUUCCCUAUUUGUCCUUGGGUUAUUUAUCUUUUUCAUAUACUGGUAUAGGAGACGAGCACUAAUAGAAAAAGAGCAAGAUCUUCCAUGCUGGGUUGUUCCACUUUGUUCUGGAAGAACAUCAUGUAGAAAAAAUGGCUACACAAAGAAAAAAGGCCCCUAUGAAAUCACUUGCUGAAAGAAAGUUUCGGGACACAUGAAACAUUUCUAUACAAAACAUGAAAUCACAUGAUGGAAAGGCAUGAACACUUAGCUCUGAGCAUGGACAGGAGCAUGCAACCAGCAGGCUGGUUAGCACCUAAAGGUCUUCUCCUUGCAUUUUAAUUAAUUUUCAGCAUUCUUUGCCUCUUUUAAAUAUUAUGUAUAGUUUUUUUACUUUUAAUAUUAUAUUUGUAUACUGCCCAGAUUCUUUCUGUGAGAGAGAUGGGUGAUUCCUAAAUAUACUAAAUAAAUAAAUAAAAAUAAUGAUAGUUUCCCUAUGAAUACUCCUUAUUCUGGAUUUUCUUUCCAAAUCUCUAUGUAAGGCAUACUGAUAACCAGAAAUAAAGCUAAAUAAUAUAGGAAC